GGCGUCCAGUGUGGUAACGUGACCGAUCCCGGAGAAGCUGGCGGGAACCCCGGGGAGUGUUCUUUGAAGGGCAGGGCGCCCUGGAAUGGGUUCUCCCAAAGAGAGGGGCCCAAGUCCUGGAAAGCGUUGCGGUUCUGGCGGCGUCCGUUGAGCUCUCGCUGGUCCUUGAAAAUCCGGAGCAGUCGCUCCAUCGCC
rnacentral:ncRNA from 1 species